UUCGCAAUGCCCGAAAGGGUGACGAAGCGACGCCGCGUGUGGGAAGAAGGCCUUCGGGUUGUAAACCGCUGUCGGGAGUUAAGAAAUGUAAGGAUGUUAAUAGCAUCUUUGCUUGACUAAGGCUCCGGAGGAAGCCACGGCUAACUCUGUGCCAGCAGCCGCGGUAAUACAGAGGUGGCAAGCGUUGUUCGGUAUUAUUGGGCGUAAAGAGCACGUAGGUGGUUUUGUAAGUCAGAUGUGAAAGCCUUCUGUUCAAAGGAAGAACGGCAUCUGAAACUGCGAAUCUUGAGUGUAGGAGGGGAUAGUGGAACUUCUGGUGGAGCGGUGAAAUGCGUAGAUAUCAGAAGGAACGUCGGCGGCGAAAGCGACUCUCUGGCCUAUUACUGACACUGAGUGUGCGAAAGUUAGGGGAGCAAACGGGAUUAGAUACCCCGGUAGUCCUAACUGUAAACGAUGGGCACUAAGUAGAGGGGUUUU
rnacentral:rRNA from 1 species